UGAGUUUUUUUCCGCUAAGAUGUUGGUUGUGAAUCUCUUUGCUUUAGUGGCGAUAAAUCAGCAUUCAAUAAUGUCGUGUAAAGAUGAGUAUCUUUUCAACCAGAUUGUGGUAAGAAAUUUACGAAUAUCAAUCGAUAUUAUUUCCAAGAUUUAGUUUUUGCCUUCUUCAGAAGAUGAAUAUGGCUACCAUAAAUUAUCUUCUAUUUAUGGAAUUUCCGGGCUUGGUCGAAUUCUAUAUAAAGCACUCGCACAAAGAUGAUGGUGAUAUAUCCUCGCAGCGAAGGAUGAAGCGAUGAACUUUUAUCUUUCAUAGUUCACAGUUUUUCCUUAAACAUCUUCUAUUAUGCAACCGUAGUUUUUUUUAUUCAUUUAUUCCUUUUAUUGUUUAGUAUUUUUGUUCCUUUUAAUUUAUAUUUGGCUUUGUUUUGCAGUUGAUCGUAAUCGUUGCUCAUAGUCAAUAAUGAGACAAUAAAAUUAAAUCUGGACGUUUACUUUCGUACGAGUGUAUAGGCUUUGCUCUAUAUAAAGCACUCAAGAAUAGGACAAGACAUUAUUUGCACGUCGUUUUUUCUUCUACGGUAUUGUUCGAGUUAUCGGAAACUAAGUGUUUAUGGGAAUCCUGAUCAAUUUCCGCAAGAGGUAUGCUCAAGCUUUUCAUGGGAAGCUCGAAAGUACUCAUGGAAAUCCUGAUAAAUUUCCGCAAGGAUUUAUUAUAUCUCUUUUGAAUCUUUGAAUUUACUUAAUUAUAUGCAAUCGAUGUUGCACCUUAAAAUCGCAAAUACAUUCUUGCGAGAAAUGCUAACUGUACUUCAUAAAGGGAAUAAUCGCUUAUGCUAGCUUAGAUUAAGCUGUCACAUAUACCAUCACACUUUUUUUUUAGGUUUUAUGAUCAUAUGAGAAACGUAAUCAAUUUAAAUAUUUUUAAAUCAAUAACAUAUGUCAAGAAGAUUGUCAUAUAUGAGAUCAUUGCAGAUUUGCGGUAACUUGAAUGAAUGUUGUUAACUAAGAAUUUCUUUGUUAUUUGUAGGAUUAUCUGUGUUUUCUUGGUUUAGGAGCAGGAGAUUGUCAAGAAGGUUUUUAAGAUCAAGAAACAUAAGGAGAAUGUUGUAAAUAGAUAGAUUUGUGAAGAAAAAAAAUUGGGUUCAAGUAGAUAACAAAUGCGUGUUUUCAUGUUGUUGGUUUGGUUCGACUAAAUCGUUUCUUCUGCGUAAAGGUUAAUUUAUGUUCUUUGUGUUUAUGAAGACCCUGAAUUUGUAUGGGGUGGCAUCCAAGAGUUCCACAAAGGGGUCUAAUAAGUGAUAUAGCGUAGGAUUUCAUCACGGUUACAUUAUAGGUUGAGUUUCUUUGGUUUGUCUUAGGCUUUAGUCAGUUCACUGAUAUAAACUCUUUCAUGUUUGUCGACUACAUUAUAAGUUCUUGGCUUAUCUGCAUUUGUAUCAAAUACCAAUAGUUGUAAGGGUUGCACUCGAA